UAUUAUUAUACUAUUAUUUAAGUUUUUUUUAUUUUCGUUUCAGUUUUCAUUUUAAUUGUAGUUCUAGUAAUGUUAUGUGCUUUUGCUAUUUUUAUUUUUUAUAUUUCUAUUUAGCUUUAUUUUUAUUUCAGUUUUAGUAAUUUUAGUAUUUCAACUGUUUUAUGUAUGAUUUGUGAACAAUCCAAUGAAUAUUCAGUGAAUCGCAAAACCUCUCGCUGGCAGAGAAUUUUAUCAGUUAUUAUGAAUAAUAACUUGAAUAUUAACAUUGAAUAAAAACUUGAAUUUUAGUUUGUUUCUUACAAUAACUUACAUUACUUUGGAAAUCUUGGAACAUUGUGCACGAGUUGUUUAUACAUUUACAGUGUAUUUGCAUCCUCAAAGCUUGAAAGCUCUGGGAGAUGAUGAUUUGUUUUGAACAACGUGACGGUGAGUAAAUGAUGACAGAUUUUCAUUUCUGGAUGAACUAUUCCUUUACUUCCACCUCCAUGCUGUUUUGUAAAUGAAUAAUCUCUAUAUUUAAUUCCCUUCUGCUCUGUCUGUAUUUUUCCUCUUUCUCUCACUUUAUACUCGUAAAGCUAAUGAGAACUGGUCACACUCCGGGCCCUAUAAACAUGCAUGCUCUGGCAGUGCUCUGUUCUUCAUCAAACCUCAGUGGCACUGAGGUGCACAGUAGGAACUAACACAAUUAUCCGCUAUGACCUUUCAGCAACUCCCCCAGCAUCGUAUGCCUAUCCCGAGAGACUCCGGCCGGCCCCGAUCAGGAGUCACGCCUGUAGGAAGGGCCUCAUGUGUGACAGCUUUCCAGACACCAUGUCAGUUUAACUCCAGGGGGACGUGGCCAGACAGCACCAACAGCCAGUGCUCCAUGGAUUGCUUAUUUACGAAACACCCUGUUAGAAUGCUGAUGAACGAUAUGCUCUCACGCCUGCUCACUACUGACCCCUGUAGCCCAGUGGUUGAGCAGGCAACCAUGCGACUGGCCACUUUAGCAGCAUGUUCUCGGGUUCAUAGGAUCACAGAACUCACUUCUCCACCAUGAAGAAAUCGCCAUCAGAAUCCAUGAGUUUUAUCACUGAGGUGCCAUGUAAGUUUAUUUUUACAGACGUCUGAUGCUAAACACAGCUCAACAUGAUACAUUAUGCC
ensembl:lncRNA